rnacentral:rRNA from 1 species
GACGGACGCUGGCGGCGUGCUUAACACAUGCAAGUCGAGGGGCAGCAUGGUCUUAGCUUGCUAAGGCCGAUGGCGACCGGCGCACGGGUGAGUAACACGUAUCCAACCUGCCGUCUACUCUUGGACAGCCUUCUGAAAGGAAGAUUAAUACAAGAUGGCAUCAUGAGUUCACAUGUUCACAUGAUUAAAGGUAUUCCGGUAGACGAUGGGGAUGCGUUCCAUUAGAUAGUAGGCGGGGUAACGGCCCACCUAGUCUUCGAUGGAUGGGGGUUCUGAGAGGAAGGUCCCCCACAUUGGAACUGAGACACGGUCCAA